GUCAAGAUGGCCGAGUGGUUAAGGCGCCAGACUUAAGAUUCUAAUUCAAAUAAUAGAUUAAUAGGUAAUCUAGUGAUAUCCGUUACUUGUCAUUCUGGUCUUCGAAGAAGGCGUGGGUUCGAACCCCACUCUUGACA
rnacentral:tRNA from 1 species